CAUACAUAAGUAAUUAUUUCAAUAUGGGAAAAGGAGGGUUAUGGUCACAGAGAAUUGAUAAAGCUAAAUAAUUCUUCCUGUAGGAGCUUCGAUCAUAGAGAGUUUAAUGACAUUUUGUUGCCAUCUGAAAAUCAUGAAUGGUUUGAGCACAUACCAACAAAAGAGAACCUUGAACAGCACAAGACAAUAACCUGCUGCCAAGUUCACACCCACUGACGAUAAAGAAAAGCCCAGGGCUCCCUCCGAUGGUGCUUAAAUCACAACCCCUCAAGGUCCAGAAAAUGCAAACCAUGCUUCUCAAGUGCGCAGGAGACUGUGUUCUCAGCGCUGCUUCUUAAAAAUAUAUGAAAUAGUCCACAACUGCCAAACGAUGGAAAGAGCCCAGAUGUCCAUCAACGGAUGAAUGGAUAAAGAAGAUGUGGUGUGUGUGUGUGUAUAUAUAUACACACACAACUGAAUAUUAUGCAGCCAUCAAAAAAUGAAAUCUUGCCAUUUGCAGCGACGUGGAUGGAACCAGAGGGUAUUAUGCUAAGCGAAAACACUGUAAAUCAAAGGCCCCAGCUAACGCUUAUACAUCAAACCUGGAGAAGAAAAGAAGAUGAGACCAAAAGAGACAUAAAUAAAACCCUUCCCCUGUGAGAUAGUACGGCAGCUGGCUAAGCGAUCACUGAAUGCCAGCCUCAGGACUGAAGGUGGCUUUAAGGAUACACAAAAGUUGACAGGUUGGCAUGAAAUAAAGGCAGAGCCAAAGAAGAAAAACAAGGAAGAAAGCAAAUCGAAACCCCUGGGAAAAGAGACCCAGUGCAGACAGAGCCCAUCGAUGGGAAAGCUGGAUGACCAGGGACAGCCUCUCACAAAGCUGAGAGGGUGAGGAAAGCAUGCCAUGAGUGGAGUCAAUUCCUUCAUCCCCUUGAAUCUGAGCCGGUCUGUGACUGCUUUGACCUACAGAAUACAACAUAAGUGAGGCAAGCCUUUAAGAAGACUAACAGUUUCUGGGCGCCUGGGUGGCUCAGUUGGUUAAGCGACUGCUUUCGUCUCAGGUCAUGAUCCUGGAGUCCCUGGAUCGAGUCCCGCAUCGGGCUCCCUGCUCGGCAGGGAGCCUGCUUCUCCCUCUGACCCUCCCCCCUCUCAUGUGCUCUCUCUCUCUCAUUCUCUCUGUCUCAAAUAAAUAAAUGAAAUCUUAAAAAAAAAAAAAAAAGACUAACAGUUUCUGCUU